GUGUUUGCCUCCAGCCUUCCCUAGAUUCCCACGCCGGCCUCACCCUACAGCGCUGCGCGACUGCUUUGCAGAAGCCAGAUGAUUCUGCCUGUGCAGGAAUGAAGUGCGACCCGGCGCGCGAGGGAGGGAGGCCUCUGCGCUUUGGCUCCGGCCGCGCCUCCUCCCUGGGAUCCGGUCUAGGGCUGGCGAGCUCCGCGGAUCCCUGCUCAGAGCGGGGCUGCUGCACCACCUGCCGCGGGUGGCCAAAGCAGAAAAAAAAGAAAAAAAUGGGAGUGGGGAAUACAAACGUCUUAUUUUCUUUUAAAGAAUAGUGAAACUAACAGAGGAGAAUCUGAAAAAAAGAGAAACCUGGGUGAACUUUCACGGACAACCUCAGAGGACAACGAAGUGUUCGGAGAGGCAGAUGCGAACCAGAACAAUGGGACCUCCUCUCAGGACACAGCGGUGACUGACUCCAAGCGCACAGCGGACCCGAAGAAUGCCUGGCAGGAUGCCCACCCAGCUGACCCAGGGAGCCGCCCCCACUUGAUCCGCCUCUUUUCCCGAGAUGCCCCGGGGAGGGAGGACAACACCUUCAA
rnacentral:lncRNA from 1 species